CUCACUAGUCGAGUGACCCUGCGCCGAAAAUGUACCGGGGCUAAACAUAUUACCGAAGCUGUGGAGUACACCUUUAGGUGUAUUGGUAGGAGAGCGUUCUAAGGGCGUUGAAGGCAGAUCGUGAGGACUGCUGGAGCGCUUAGAAGUGAGAAUGCCGGUAUGAGUAGCGAAAGACAGGUGAGAAUCCUGUCCACCGAAUGACUAAGGUUUCCUGGGGAAGGCUCGUCCGCCCAGGGUUAGUCGGGACCUAAGCCGAGGCCGACAGGCGUAGGCGAUGGAUAACAGGUUGAUAUUCCUGUACCCGUUGUUUUUGUUUGAGCAAUGGAGGGACGCAGGAGGCUAAGGAAUGCAGACGAUCGGAAAUGUCUGUCCAAGCAGUAAGUCUGAAGAGGAGUCAAAUGCUUCUUUUCUUAAGGACAAGCUGUGAUGGGGAGGGAAAUAAUAGUACCGAAGUUCCUGAUGUCACACUGCCGAGAAAAGCUUCUAGUGAGAAAACAGCGGCCCGUACCGCAAACCGACACAGGUAGUCGAGGAGAGAAUCCUAAGGUGAGCGAGAGAACUCUCGUUAAGGAACUCGGCAAAAUGACCCCGUAACUUCGGGAGAAGGGGUGCUGAUCAUACGAUCAGCCGCAGUGAAUAGGCCCAAGCGACUGUUUAUCAAAAACACAGGUCUCUGCAAAAUCGUAAGAUGAAGUAUAGGGGCUGACGCCUGCCCGGUGCUGGAAGGUUA
rnacentral:rRNA from 1 species